UACAGAGGGUGCGAGCGUUACUCGGAAUUACUGGGCGUAAAGCGUGCGUAGACGGUUAUUUAAGUCGGGUGUGAAAGCCCCGGGCUCAACCUGGGAAUUGCAUUCGAGAAUGAAUAGCUAGGGUACGGUAGAGGGAAGCGGAAUUUCCGGUGUAGCGGUGAAAUGCGUAGAUAUCGGAAGGAACAUCAGUGGCGAAAGCGGCUUCCUGGACCAGUACCGACGUUCAGGCACGAAAGCGUGGGGAGCAAACAGG
rnacentral:rRNA from 1 species